UUAUACCGCGAAACUGCGAAUGGCUCAUUAUAUAAGUUAUAGUUUAUUUGAUAGCACCUUACUACAUGGAUAACUGUGGUAAUUCUAGAGCUAAAACAUGCUAAAAAUCCCGACUUCGGAAGGGAUGUGUUUAUUAGAUUAAAAACCAAUGCCCUUCGGGGCUGCUUGGUGAUUCAUAAUAACCUCUCGAAUCGCACGGCCUUGCGCCGGCGAUGGUUCAUUCAAAUUUCUUCCCUAUCAACUUUCGAUGCGAAGGUAUUGUCUUCGCAUGGUUACAACGGGUAACGGAGGGUUAGGGCUCGACCCCGGAGAAGGAGCCUGAGAAACGGCUACUACAUCCAAGGAAGGCAGCAGGCGCGCAAAUUACCCAAUCCCGACACGGGGAGGUAGUGACAAUAAAUACUGAUACAGGGCUCUUUUGGGUCUUGUAAUUGGAAUGAGUACAAUUUAAAUCCCUUAACGAGGAACAAUUGGAGGGCAAGUCUGGUGCCAGCAGCCGCGGUAAUUCCAGCUCCAAUAGCGUAUAUUAAAGUUGUUGUGGUUAAAAAGCUCGUAGUUGAACCUUGGGCCUGGCUGGCCGGUCCCCCUCACCGGGUGCACUGGUCCGGCCGGGCCUUUCCCUCUGUGGAACCGCAUGCCCUUCACUGGGUGUGCCGGGGAAACAGGACUUUUACUUUGAAAAAAUUAGAGUGCUCCAGGCAGGCCUAUGCUCGAAUACAUUAGCAUGGAAUAAUAGAAUAGGACGUGUGGUUCUAUUUUGUUGGUUUCUAGGACCGCCGUAAUGAUUAAUAGGGACAGUCGGGGGCAUCAGUAUUCAAUUGUCAGAGGUGAAAUUCUUGGAUCUAUUGAAGACUAACUACUGCGAAAGCAUUUGCCAAGGAUGUUUUCAUUGAUAAGGAACGAAAGUUAGGGGAUCGAAGACGAUCAGAUACCGUCGUAGUCUUAACUAUAAACUAUGCCGACUAGGGAUCGGACGGUGUUUAUACUUGACCCGUUCGGCACCUUUCGAGAAAUCAAAGUGCU
rnacentral:rRNA from 1 species